rfam:Glycine max cultivar Williams 82 chromosome 10, whole genome shotgun sequence.
GCGUUUGUAGGUUAAGAUAAUUGCCUUCCAAGUAAUAGACCUGGGUUCGACUCUCGGCAAAACGCA